rnacentral:lncRNA from 1 species
AGCUGGAUUGGUGCUCAGUAGAAGCCAUUACCUAGUCAUAGUGGUGGAGCAAAAGUCCUCCGAGAUGAGCUAUUGCUGCUGUUUGAUGGAACCUGGUGGAAGUGGAUGGUUUGGAGAAGACCAAGAAAGUUGGUCUUCAGAUGUAUUUGAAAGUUGUGAUAAUUAUGGAAUUAGUUUUUUUACCCUUCUGAAACAAGUACCCAUGGCUUUGCAGUCCUUCAUUAAAAAUAAAAAGGACAAUUAAGGUUGAAGUGCCACAUUCAUGAAAUCAAUGAUUUGGACAACUUUGGCCAAGUGUGGACAACUAUCACUAUUUUGUCAUGCUUUGCGUUUAGCAGAUGAAGAGCUGUUUGAUAGGACUGACAUGUCUUCAUAUACUGGAAACACCCUGGAGAAGCUGCUCAAUCGUUGGUUGUGACACUAAACCAUAACUUACCUGUGAUGAGCCAGGGCCUCAGCAUGCCUCCACUGAGACAGGAGACCUUGAGGAACACCAAAAAUGGUCAUAAUUUCUUGGUAGCUAUGAUAGAGCCAUAGCCAGAUGGUCUCUAAGCCCAUGGUAAACAUGCCCAAGGAAAAUAGAGGUACCCACCUUCAAGACACUUUUGAAAAUCUAGAUGUCUAAAUCAAAAGGGAAAGGUAUCCAGAAAAAAUUACCAAACAUAGAAAAAUUUGACCAAUGGAACUAAUAUUCUCUGCAGGGCAAAAAAUCACUACCUAAACAUCUAUAUCUAUUUACAUCUCAGGA